rnacentral:RNase_P_RNA from 1 species
UAUUUUGGGUAAUCGCUAUAGAAAUAUAGAGGAAAGUCCAUGCUCACACAAUCUGAGAUGAUUGUAGUGUUCGUGCUUGAUGAAACAAUAAGUCAAGGCAUUAAUUUGACGGCAAUGAAAUAACCUAAGUCAUUCAUUGAUAUGGUUAAAAUAGUUUGAAAGUGCCACAGUGACGUAGCUUUUAUAGAAAUAUAAAAGGUGGAACGCGGUAAACCCCUCGAGUGAGCAAUCCAAAUUUGGUAGGAGCACUUGU